rnacentral:rRNA from 2 species
CUAAAGUCUAAAACGACUCUCGGCAACGGAUAUCUCGGCUCUCGCAUCGAUGAAGAACGUAGCGAAAUGCGAUACUUGGUGUGAAUUGCAGAAUCCCGUGAACCAUCGAGUCUUUGAACGCAAGUUGCGCCCUAAGCCUUCUGGCCGAGGGCACGUCUGCCUGGGU